rnacentral:lncRNA from 1 species
GGCUGAGUAUUCACAAUCUGGUUUGUUCUGUAUUAAAUCAAUUCAAAAGCAGGAUAAACCGGUGACAUCCGACAUACAAAUCACUGUUUGGAUGAGAAGUACGACAAGGUGAGCUACUGAGAGGGCUUCUACCGUUCCAUUCAACUGCAGAGUAGUGAUUAUCUGCAGGAUGGCACACGAGGACAUAGUCAUCGUGCUCACAGUUCCUCUGUGUGUGUGGGGGGGGAGCUUGGUAGAGAGCUGGUUGGAGCUUGGUAGAGAGGAAUAAGAAGAUUUAACAGCCUCGGGUGAGCCAUAUGUAUGGGUCUUCCAUGGGGCUCCAAAGAGACACGUCCAUGUAUUCAUCACAGUGAAUGAUCGACAUCACUAAGGCUCUCCUUUGCUGGUGAACAGCUAUGUGGAAGCAUCAUCAUGUAGCCCUGGGGCCCCACCUGGUCUGAGGAGAACAUGGUAGCACUAGGUGUUUGAGGAGGGGUGGGAGUCACAUUGACUUCUGAAGGGAUAUAAUCUGCAUCAUGAGGCCCUGGGCCAGGAGUCAUUGGCAUAUAACUGCCCGCCACUGAGGGUGUAUGUGUACUCUGGUGAUAGACAUGAAGGAAAGGGGGCUUGGAUGAGGUAUUUUUCACAUUUUGAAGCGCAUGAAGUGAUUUGGUGGUAUUGUCUGGAAUGUUCAGGGGUAGACUUUUUCCACACCGAAGAUCUCGCCAUUACCUUCAGAUCCAUGGCCACGUAGUCAGUCCGGCUGUUCUCUUCAAUGAGUGGGAGUCAGAGGUGUUACUGCUGGAGAACUGAAAGGCUGGGAGCCCAAAUCCUCAGCCCAGACAGAGCCUCUAUCAUUGGGAGAACCACAGACGGAGGGGCCAGAGGUGUGUAUCAGAGACAUUGCCACCGCUGCCGGAUACACUGGCGGGAAUGGUGGUGGAGAUGCAGGCACCGUGACUGAGGCUCUCUUCAAGGAUUUUAUUGAUGCAGACAUUACAGAGAGCCAAGGUGCCAGUCGCAGGGCUGAUCAGUUGUUAACCUGUCCCCUCUCCUUGGCUACAGGUUUGGUUAGGGCGGUGGCCUUCAUCUCUUUCACUUUUCUGUGGGGACAGUUUGCUUACAACAGUUUCAGUCCCUGAGGACCGCUGGAGCCCAGUCCGUCUGGGUGGCAGGUUGACAUGUUGAUGACGUCACGUGGUGACUACAGCGCAGGGGUUUGAUGGGAAUGAUUGACUCUUGCUCCGCGGCCUGAAAUCAGGGAUGGCCGCCAGCGCUCUCACGGCCACCAGGAUUGUCUUGUGCAUGUUCUGAGCCACUACAGGGUCACCUGAGUCUACCUGCAUCCAGAUCUCCGCGGGCCCAGUAGAGGAUCGAGCGACCCACCUCAAUAAAGAAGAAGCACUCGGGAGUGACCACAGCGAAAGACAUUCAUCAUAGGCAGGUUGACAGACAGCAUCUCUUGGCAGAGAGACACAGCCCCGUUAGGUUCUUGGUUUGAAGAUGGUGCCAGGAGAGAUUGUCCAGCAUCCAUAAUUCAACUCCUCAGUGUCCUGGUGCUGAUUUUUCUCCUAGAUACUCAGGUCAUUCAGAGCCAGCUCUCUCUGAUCAGCUUCUCCGUGUUAGAGGAGUACUGCUCCAGAAUCCACAGCACAGAGUCUAGAAUGUUGGUCUCCCUCCCUUUUUGUUAAUGUUCUUAAACUGGGACAGCAUAGUGGAGGAGGGUUACCGGUACUCACCUUCUGGAUGAUAUUUGACAGACAGGAAGAGAGCAUUGGGACCAUGCGUGCAACAGACAACGUGUAUGUACACAUUCAAAUGAAGCCUGAAUCACUCACGCAUAUUAAACUAAACUGUUAAACCUGUUUUUGAUUGUGUCGGGGGUUGUGAUUGGAUGAGUGAUCCCUACCUUCAGCAGACAGGUCAAGCAUAUAGUAGGGAGUUGUUGCUGCUAUUACCAGCUGUUAAAAAAAUUGCAAUAUGUGGAAGGUACUGUACCUAAUACAGUACUAGUGUCACACCCUGAUUUGUUUCACAUGUCCUUGUUAUUGUUUCCACCCUCUCCAGGUGUCACUUAUUUUCCCCAGUGUAUUUAUCCCUGUGUUUCCUGUCUCUCUAUGCCAGUUUGUCUUGUAUUUUUCCAAGUCAACCAGCAUUUUCCCUGAUCUCCUGCUUUUCGCUAUUGACCCUUUUUCUAGUCCUCCCGGUUUUGACCCUAGCCUGUUUCUGGACUUUGUACCUGCCUGCCUUGACCACGAACUUGCCUGCCACUCAGUACCUCCUGGACUCUGAUCUGGUUUUGACCUUUUGCCUGUCCACAACCAUUCUCU